GAACGGGUGAGUAACACGUGGGCAACCUGCCUGUAAGACUGGGAUAACAUCGAGAAAUCGGUGCUAAUACCGGAUAAUAAAAAGAACUGCAUGGUUCUUUUUUGAAAGAUGGUUUCGGCUAUCACUUACAGAUGGGCCCGCGGCGCAUUAGCUAGUUGGUGGGGUAACGGCUCACCAAGGCGACGAUGCGUAGCCGACCUGAGAGGGUGAUCGGCCACACUGGGACUGAGACACGGCCCAGACUCCUACGGGAGGCAGCAGUAGGGAAUCUUCCGCAAUGGGCGAAAGUCUGACGGAGCAACGCCGCGUGAGUGAUGAAGGUUUUCGGAUCGUAAAACUCUGUUGUUAGGGAAGAACAAGUGCCGUUCGAAAGGGCGGCACCUUGACGGUACCUAACGAGAAAGCCACGGCUAACUACGUGCCAGCAGCCGCGGUAAUACGUAGGUGGCAAGCGUUGUCCGGAAUUAUUGGGCGUAAAGCGCGCGCAGGCGGUCUCUUAAGUCUGAUGUGAAAGCCCCCGGCUCAACCGGGGAGGGUCAUUGGAAACUGGGAGACUUGAGUACAGAAGAGGAGAGUGGAAUUCCACGUGUAGCGGUGAAAUGCGUAGAGAUGUGGAGGAACACCAGUGGCGAAGGCGACUCUCUGGUCUGUAACUGACGCUGAGGCGCGAAAGCGUGGGGAGCAAACAGGAUUAGAUACCCUGGUAGUCCACGCCGUAAACGAUGAGUGCUAGGUGUUAGGGGUUUCGACGCCCUUAGUGCCGAAGUUAACACAUUAAGCACUCCGCCUGGGGAGUACGACCGCAAGGUUGAAACUCAAAGGAAUUGACGGGGGCCCGCACAAGCAGUGGAGCAUGUGGUUUAAUUCGAAGCAACGCGAAGAACCUUACCAGGUCUUGACAU
rnacentral:rRNA from 1 species